rnacentral:rRNA from 1 species
GAUGAACGCUAGCGGCAGGCUUAAUACAUGCAAGUCGUGGGGCAGCAUGAGUAGCAAUACUUGAUGGCGACCGGCAAACGGGUGCGGAACACGUACACAACCUUCCGAUAAGUGGGGAAUAGCCCAGAGAAAUUUGGAUUAAUACCCCGUAACAUAUAGAGUAGGCAUCUUCUUUAUAUUAUAGCUUCGGCGCUUAUUGAUGGGUGUGCGUCUGAUUAGGUAGUUGGCGGGGUGACGGCCCACCAAGCCUACGAUCAGUAGCUGAUGUGAGAGCAUGAUCAGCCACACGGGCACUGAGACACGGGCCCGACUCCUACGGGAGGCAGCAGUAAGGAAUAUUGGACAAUGGGCGAAAGCCUGAUCCAGCCAUGCCGCGUGAAGGAUUAAGGUCCUCUGGAUUGUGAACUUCUUUUAUUUGGGACGAAAAAAGGGAAUUCUUUCCCACUUGACGGUACCAAGUGAAUAAGCACCGGCUAACUCCGUGCCAGCCGCCGCAGUAA